rnacentral:rRNA from 1 species
UACAGAGGUGGCAAGCGUUGUUCGGAAUUACUGGGCGUAAAGGGCGCGUAGGCGGUCUUCUAAGUCUUGUGUGAAAUCCCUCGGCUCAACUGAGGAACUGCACGGGAUACUGGAAGACUUGAGUUCGGGAGAGGGAAGCGGAAUUCCGGGUGUAGCGGUGAAAUGCGUAGAUAUCCGGAGGAACACCGGUGGCGAAGGCGGCUUCCUGGACCAGUACCGACGUUCAGGCACGAAAGCGUGGGGAGCAAACAGG